AAUCUAAACCCUUCCCAGAGUAUCAAUUGGAGGGCAAGUCUGGUGCCAGCAGCCGCGGUAAUUCCAGCUCCAAUAGCGUAUAUUAAAGUUGUUGCAGUUAAGAAGCUCGUAGUUGAAUUUCUGCCUUAUCAUUAAUUUCGCUUCCGAACGUAAUUUUAUUGAUUUGGCAUCUUCUGGAUUAUAUAUUAUUUUCAAUAUAUUUUUCCAGUAUUUUACUUUGAGAAAACUAGAGUGUUUCAAACAGGCUUUUGCCUUGAAUACUACAGCAUGGAAUAAUGAAGUAGGACUAUUGGUUCUAUUUUGUUGGUUAUCGAACCAUAGUAAUGGUUAAUAGGAGCAGUUGGGGGCAUUCGUAUUUAACUGUCAGAGGUGAAAUUCUUAGAUUUGUUAAAGACGAACUACUGCGAAAGCAUUUGCCAAGGAUGUUUUCAUUAAUCAAGAACGAAAGUUAGGGGAUCGAAGACGAUCAGAUACCGUCGUAGUCCUAACCAUAAACUAUGCCGACUAGAGAUUGGAGGUCGUCAGUUUAAACGACUCCUUCAGCACCUU
rnacentral:rRNA from 1 species